rnacentral:lncRNA from 1 species
GUUUUGGAGUGCAGGCGUGAAUAGUCCUUUCUGUCCUGCUUUGAGUACUGCUGUUGGGUGCCUUGGGGGGACCUUAAGGGAGCUCGGAAGUUGAGACGUGGUGAGUGCGAGAUCACUGCCCACAAAGGGGAGGAGCAGGCGGAUGAACAGCCAGAGCUGCAAUGGUGGAUCCUCCUCCAGGGCUGCAUGGGACGACAGAUAGAUGAGGCUCUAGGACGGGCACAAAUGCUACCCGAAUGCAAACCACUCCGGAGAUCUGUAAAAGGACUGGCCCCGGACAGGAAGCACACUUUAAACUAGAGGCGGGAGUCAAAGCCCCGGUGAAGAUUCUGUGACGGUUCAUUGUAUAAUUUAUGAUGAUGAAGAUUGAGUUGCAUUUUGCGGAAAAGAGAUGUUGAGAUAUCUAAGGCAUUGAGAAAUCUGUCAUGCAGACAUGCACACAGGGAGAGGGAGUACCCAAACUGAUGAGAACUUACAGGAAUUGGACCAUCUAAGCCCUUAGAAAGUGAAGUCCACUGUGUCUCAAACAAAGGAUGGCAAGUGUUCAUGACAUCAAUACUACCCAAGGCUUCAGAGUCAUUGGAUUGCAGGAUGCAGUGACUUAUGAUGAUGUGCGUGUGAACUUCACUGAGGAAGAGUGGGAUUUGCUGGAUCCUUCCCAGAAAAGUCUCUAUGAAGAGGUGAUGCUAGAGACAUACCAGAACAUCACUGCUAUAGGUAAGACUGAAUUUCCUCUUGCUUUUCUGAAUAAGGGACAAAUAUUUCUUUGUUAUUGAUCCUCUGUUGUUUCAAUUGAAGAGGAGGAAGAAUGAGCUUACAGGCAUGAAAGAAUUCAUAUUGGAGAGAAACCGUAUGAACGUAACCAAUGGGGUAAAGCCUUUGCAAGUGACAAUCAUCUCCAAAUACGUAAAAGAACAAAUACUGGAGAGAAACCUUAUGAAUGUAAUCAAUGUGGUAAAGCCUUUUCACAACAGAGUAGUCUCCAGUAUCAUAAAAGAACAUAUGCUGGACAGAAACCUUAUGAAUGUAAUCAGUGUGGUAAAGCCUUGUCAUGUCAAAGAAAUCUCCAAUAUCAUAAAAGAACACAUACUGGAGAGAAACCCUAUGAAUGUAAUCAGUGUGGUAAAGCCUUCACACAUUACAAUAAUCUCCGAUAUCAUAAAAGAACACAUACUGGAGAAAAACCUUAUGAAUGUAAUCAGUGUGGUAAAGCCUUUGCACGUUACAAUAAUCUCCAGUGUCAUAAAAGAACACAUACUGGAGAGAAACCUCAUGUGUGUGAUCAAUGUGGUAAAACCUUUGCAUGGCAGUAUACUCUCCAAAAACAUAAAAGAAUACAUACUGGAGAGAAACCUUAUCAAUGUAGUCAAUGUGAUAAAGCAUUUUCAGAACACAGUAGUCUUCAAUAUCAUAAAAGAACACAUACUGGAGAGAAACCUUAUGAGUGUGAUCAAUGUGGUAAAGCCUUUGCUUGGCAGUGUAGUCUCCAUAUCCAUAAAAGAACACAUUCUGGAGAGAAACCUUAUGAGUGUAAUGAAUGUGGUAAAGCCUUUGCACAUCACACUAGUCUCCAAAGUCAUAAAAGAAUACAUACUGGAGAGAAACCUUAUCAGUGUGAUCAGUGUGGUAAAGCAUUUGCACAUCAAAAUAAUCUCCAAUAUCAUAAAAGAACACAUACUGGAGAGAAACCAUAUGAAUGCAAUCAAUGUGGUAAAGCCUUUGCAAGUCACAGUCAUCUCCAAAUACAUGAAAGAACACAUUUUAGAAAAAACCCUUAGAAUGCAAUCAAUGUUGUAAAGACUUUGGAUGUAAGACUAAUCUCCAAAGACAUAAAGGAAUAUAUAUGGGACAGAAACCUUAUGAAUGUAAUCAAUGUGGUAAAGCAUUUGCAACUCACAGUCAUCUACAAUGACAUAAAAGAACACAGAGGAGAGAAACCUGGUUAUUGUUUACAUAUUGACAUAAGGAGAUGCAAGUAUGUAUCAACUUGACAAGGGAUGGAUUGUGAUUGCUACUCUUGGUUUUCAAUAUAAGAUCUAAAGUGGAAAGCAUAGGUCCAGGCAUGGUGGUACAUGCCCUUGAACCCUAGGAGAUGAGCAUCAAGCAGAUCUCUGAGUUCAAGUCCAUCCUGAUACAGAACAAGUUUCAGGUGAAGAAAAGCUAAGGUCUAGGCCGGUGGAUACAGAGCCUUGCAGAUCUCUGAGUUCAAGGUCAGUAUAUAGAGCAAGUUCCAGGACAGCCAAGCUGAGGCAGUAAAGGAGUUGGAGAACAGAAAACUGGUGAUAAUGUAAUAGAAGAGGCCAUGUCCCAGGCCCAGAAAGCAGCAGAGCUCAGCAACUUUGUCCAUGUGGCUCUGACUUUAGAGGUAAGAAUAGAAGGGACUACUGGGAAAAUUGAAGCUUGUUAGCUGUGGAUGAGAAAUUAGAAGUGAUGAAGAAGAGACCAGCAUCAUUGAGGUGAAAUUUUCUAGGAAGUGUUUUCUGAGAGGACAAAGAAACUGUGUUCCAGAGAUAGCCAGGAUUGUACCUUGUGUUGCAGCUGAACUUGGUCACAUGUAAGAAUCAUCCAGGUGGUACUGGUUUUGAAGGCAUGACGGUGUCAUGAGGAGCAGCUGAGGCUUGGACCAAUGAAGGGAGCAUAAGUGAGACUAUCAGUGAAGCCUAGUUGCAGGAGAAGAACCCAACAUAUUGAAGAUGCCAGUCCAAUGGGAUGAGCAGAAAGAACAGCCCAGUAGAGUGGAGUCAACCAGAGCUUAGAGUGAUACAGAGGUCAGAGCUAGAGAAGUGACCUUAUCUCUUUGGAGGACUGCAGAAGAUCAUGUGUGGAUCCAAGACAUUGGAGCAAGAAGCUGUAACACUGAGGUUACCUUCCAGACCCCAAGAUCUUUGAGAUGUCAGAGCUGUGGGGUACCUGCUCAGGAAAACCAGCCAAAGAGAAAGAAUUGUGCUGCAGUUAACAAAGCAUAAAAGGAGUUGGAGAUCUAAAGAAUGCUUUAACAUGACACAUGGAGAUGCAGUUUCAAGAUUUCCAAGUUGACUUUUGGUUUUGUUUUCGUCCAGUAAUUCCUCAUGAUGACAUUUUGGAAUGGUGAAGUCUAUGUUGUGAAGUUGGAAUUAUAUGAUCUGCAUUUAGAUUUUUCUUUUUUAGGGGAUUACAGUUACAUUGAAUGAAUCUCAGAAGAGACUUUGACCUUUGGACUUUUAACGUAUUUGAGACUGGUAUAGAUGAUGGGGACUUUUGAGGUUGGACCUCGUGUAUUUUUCAUUAUGCAUGUUUAAAUAUGUUCCUUAUACAUUCCUGUACUCCAACAUGCUUAAGGGGGCCAGUGAGUGGAAUGUGGGAGUUUGAAUAUGCUUGUGACAGGGAGUGACUCUAUUCAGAGGUGUGACCUUGUAGGAGAAAGUGGAUAUCUCUGGGGGUGGACUUUGAAGCUCCACCAAGUGCAAAACAGACCCUCCUAUUCCCUCUCUGGAAGACAGUUUCUUCCUGGCUGCCUUUGGAUCAAAAUGCAGAACUCUCAGCUCCUUCUCCAGCAUCAUGUCUGCCUGCAUGCUGCUGUGCUUCCUCUGAAACUGUAAGCCAGCCCCAAUUAAAGGUUUGCUUUUAUGAGAGUUGCCAUGGUCAUGAUGUCUAUUCCUAGCAAUGGAAACACUAAGACAGAAACCUUGGGAGUGUAUUUAAUAUAGUGAAACCUUUUCACAAUUCUGUAGGCUUCAUCAUCAUGAAAGAAUAUAUACUGGAGCCAGACAGUGGUGGUGCAUGCCUUUAAUCCCAUCACUUGGGAGGAAGAUGCAGGCAGACUUCUGAGUUCUCGGCCAGCCUGGUCUACAAAGUGAUUUCCAGGACAGCCUGGGCUAUAGAGAGAAACCCUGUCUUGAAAAACCAAAACAAACAAAAGAGUAUGUCCUGGAGAGAAACCUUUUGAAUGUACUUCCUAUGGUUAGGCUUCUUCCUACGGUUAAGAAGGAAUCACUUUGACAGAUACAGUUCUCAUUCUCUGUCUUUAGAACCUGAGCAUCACCCAGGAGUUCAUGACAAGCUCCUUCUUGGACCCUGUCUACAUGUGUUAAAUCAGAAGUUUUGCUCUCAGUAUAUGACUCCUAGAAAAAUAAUUAAAGGUGGCCCCUGAACUCUAUAUUUCUGACUCUCCAGUUACUACUAAUCUAUCUUUCAAGCAGAGGCCCCAUAUCCUUGAGCUCUCUGGGAGCAGAGGUGAUCAGAAAGGUAGUCAAGGGCUCUGAAGCCCCUCAGGCACACGCGAGGUUUCAGGCAACACCAGCCCCACUCUGAAGCACACACACAAAAUCCUGUUGAGGAUUAAUCUAAUGCCUGCUCUCUGACACAGCGUUUGCAACACAGCAGGUAGAACUUGCCAUAUCCACCCAACAAACCCCAUACACAUCUAGGAAACUUCUACAGCUCAGAAACUCCUGUUGUACCUGAAAUUGGAUUUCCCAGAAUCAUGCCAGGUUCAAUGGUGGCAGUGGAAAAGUGAAAAUAUUCUGAUCAAGUAUUGCUAAACAAUGAUCCCCAUCACUGCCUUUAUACGACUUUCAAAUACUUCAUAACAUAUGUCACACAACAGUGAAUGUGUUUGAGCCUAUCCCUAACCCCUAACCCUAACCACUAAUUCCUUACCCUGUUAUCUCUUGACUCUCCUCUAUGUAUACUGAAUAGAGUAUAGAAUUAGGCUUAGAUUGAUGCCAGUUUGUCAUUAAUGUUUGCCUGAAGACAGACUUUUUUCCCAUAUGUAUUUCCUUCAAGUCUCAUACUCUAAGUGCCUUAAAUGCCUCACUUAUUCCUUCACAACUUGCAAGCAUUUUUGUAGGGUUUUAUUUUUCAUAUUGGAACGUUCCUUCAUAAUCUACAUAUAACGCCUACUUUGUUAAAACUGUUUCAAUGUUUCAUCACUCUAACAUUUUAUAUUUGCUAAUACCAUAAGAUACAAUAGGUUUAACAAAUCCACCAUCUCCUGUGAGAACAUUUAUUCAAGGGUGGGGAAUAAGCAAUGUUUAUCUCCUCUUUCUAAGUUCUCAGUGGCACCACAUCUCAAAAUUACCAUAGUUCAACCAAAGAUGCCAGUGAAAUUACUGAGUUUCCCUUAUAAAAUAUUGACAAGGUGUUUCUUAUGAGACCUGGAUAUCCUAGAAUCAGUCACAAUAAAAAUGCUUUACUCAUUAUGUAUGGAGACAAUUUCACAUUACAUAAAUAGUUAUACCUCUUCCCCCGAUAAAACUACUGGCCAGCCAUGUCCUCUUUUU